rnacentral:lncRNA from 1 species
AUGUUCAAACCUAUGUACCCCCUUCUGGUCCAGGUGACUUCGUCCUCAAAUGUUGCCCUCAUCCCUUCACUGAACCUCCACUCCCAACCCCACCGUCACACACAGGCAGGCAGACCUGGUGAUUUCUUUGUCCCUUCCCUCUCCCCAAUCUUGUUCAUAAUGGAAUAUCACAGCGACAAACACAGGUCCAGAAACUACCUGUUCUCUUUCUGCCUUAUGAGGAGACAAAAUUCCAAAGCCUGGACUGUGCCUGAUUCACAGGUGGAAGCAGAUAAUUUGGAGCCCCAGGAAAUGAUGGAGGCACAAGAUUAACCAGUCUGCUGUGUGAGUCACCAGAUGGAGGACAGAUGCCAACCAAGCAGGACACCUGUGGCAAGAAAUCAACUAUUGUAUGAAGUCACUGAAAUCAAGGGAGUUCUUUGUUACAGUAGCUGACAUUACACUUACUGAUACUCCGACCCUUCCUCUCUGGGCCCCUGAUAUCAAUAAACCUUGAGCACCCCCUGUCA